AGAGUUUGAUCAUGGCUCAGGACGAACGCUGGCGGCGUGCUUAAUACAUGCAAGUCGAGCGAGGUUACUGUUUUGGAUCCCUUCGGGGUGAAGAAGCUUUAACCUAGCGGCGGACGGGUGAGUAACGCGUGGGUAACCUACCCCAAAGUCCGGGAUAACAGCGGGAAACCGCUGCUAAUACCGGAUGCCUUUACCUUGGGGCAUCUUGAGGUAAAGAAAGGCAACGCUUUGGGAUGGGCCCGCGUCCCAUUAGCUAGUUGGUGAGGUAACGGCUCACCAAGGCGACGAUGGGUAGCCGGCCUGAGAGGGUGGACGGCCACACUGGGACUGAGACACGGCCCAGACUCCUACGGGAGGCAGCAGUAGGGAAUAUUGCGCAAUGGACGGAAGUCUGACGCAGCGACGCCGCGUGAGCGAUGAAGGUCUUCGGAUCGUAAAGCUCUGUCCUUGGGGAAGAAGGCGAAAGCUUGACGGUACCCAAGAAGAAAGCCCCGGCUAACUACGUGCCAGCAGCCGCGGUAAUACGUAGGGGGCGAGCGUUGUCCGGAAUUACUGGGCGUAAAGGGUGCGUAGGCGGCCCUUUAAGUCGGAUGUGAAAGCCCGCGGCUUAACCGCGGAAUGGCAUUCGAAACUGGAGGGCUUGAGUGUCGGAGAGGGUAGUGGAAUUCCCAGUGUAGCGGUGAAAUGCGUAGAUAUUGGGAGGAACACCAGUGGCGAAGGCGACUACCUGGACGAUAACUGACGCUGAGGCACGAAAGCUAGGGGAGCAAACAGGAUUAGAUACCCUGGUAGUCCUAGCCGUAAACGAUGGGUACUAGGUGUAGGUGGUUUCGAUACCAUCCGUGCCGUAGUUAACGCAUUAAGUACCCCGCCUGGGGAGUACGUGCGCAAGCAUGAAACUCAAAUGAAUUGACGG
rnacentral:rRNA from 1 species